rnacentral:lncRNA from 1 species
CCCCCUCCACAAACCCCCACCAUCCACCCGGCUCACCGUGCCUGCCCUCCUCCCGCUUCACCGCCCGCCACUUCUGACCAGCCUGCUCCACCUCCCUGCCCCCUCCCCACCACCAGCGCCUCUGGAGAUCAGAAACUCUUGGCCCACCGACCCAAUCCAGCCGAAGCCAUGCUUGGUUUGACCCCAUAGUAUCUUUUGUUUUUAACUAAAAUGAAUUCCCAUCAUUUAAAAAUUGGGGAUUUUCGCAUAAAAAUCCACAUUUCCAGCUUAGUUUGGAAAAUGGAAGUCUCAGGCAGAAGGCUCCCCCCUGCCUUGCUGCUUGGCGGCAGUCUUGAGGGAACACUGACCUGCAGUUCGCCCCAGUCCCCACCAGGCCCACCUGCCUGGCCCUGGAGGCGUGUUCCCACUCCUGCUCAGAGCCUUUCUACCCCAGUGCCUUUGCAGGGCCCUUUCCUUGGGAUGCCCACCCCCACCCCUUAACGUCUCUCCUCUGGGAAGCCUCGUGGCACUGUCCCCCACCCCCAGCCCUCACUCGUGGCCACCCAGCCCCUCCCUGCUCCCAUGGUCCCGAGGAGGUCGAGGCCCCCACCCCAUCCUGCGUGAUGCCUGGCUGGCUGGCACUGUGGCCUCUGCGGCUGCGCUCUCGCCACAGGGCUGCUGCUCUCUGGCUGCUUCUCCUUCCCAUCCUGGCUCUGGUCCUGGCCCACAGUAGGCACCCAAAACUCUGCACAUGGGGAUUGCUGUCUGUCCUGGUCCUUGCUGUAGCCCCAGUGCCUAGAGCAGUGCCAAGCACACAUGAGGUGCUCCACAAACAUGUGCCACCAAAAAAGAUCCUGAGAUGCAGGAGUCAGGAGGCCGGAGUCUUCCCUGCUCUGCAGUCAGGAGUUAUGUCACCGUCACUGCCGUGCAACGGAGCCUCUCGAGUGAGGGAGGGACCCUGGCAAUUUUCUGGCUCACAGCUCAUUCCAGAGCUGCCUGGUGACACAGACGGGCCCGCAGGCCUGGGAAGGCCCUGUUCCAGCAGAUGCAGCCCGGGACUCCCGCUCUGGAGCCCAGCAGGGCUUCUCCGCCCCCAAGACUGGAGGGGCUUCCCGGCUGAGCCCCAGGAUGUCAUCUGGGGGCUGGGUUCCCACCCCCUCCCCAGCCGCAGCCCCUCAUAUGUGCGUGGCACUCCCCCGUUACAGUUUACAAAGUGCGUUCACAGACAUUAUCACAUCGGCUCCUAAACGCCCCCUAAAAACCACAAUAAAUCUCUCGCUCUGGCUCCCGA